CGCACGGGUGAGUAACACGUAUGCAACCUGCCUGCCACAGCCGGAUAAUCGGGAGAAAUUCCGUCUAAUACGGCAUAAUGCAUCGACGGGACAUCCUGUUGGUGCCAAAGGUUGAUUCCGGUGGCGGAUGGGCAUGCGUCGCAUUAGUUAGUUGGCGGUGUAACGGACCACCAAGACGACGAUGCGUAGGGGUUCUGAGAGGAAGGUCCCCCACACUGGUACUGAGACACGGACCAGACUCCUACGGAAGGCAGCAG
rnacentral:rRNA from 1 species